UCUUGAUGGUUCCAGGUGGCUCCAGGUGCACCCGUCCAGGCAGGGAGCGUUGCCCCCUUGUAGUGCAUGAACCUCGGCUGAGUCGGGUGGCAGCCUUCCAUUUGUUAAAUACUACAUGAGGUGACUGGAGCUUCUCUGCUCAUUGCUGAGAGGACAGAUGGAGAGGCCACGGAACGUUCUGGAGAGCCGAUGGUAAUUAGGAGCCAGUAGCAGAGCCGGUGUCUUCCGCAGGGAACAGGCCUGAGCGGAAGUGCUGGGUUGUUUGCUCUUUGGCUGCUCAGCAUGCUGUUGCUCUGCGAAGUGAGCUCGGGUUCGGACUGUCAUCGCUGCACAUUUCUCCGCUCUUCACAUCAGUGAGGCAUCUCCUGAAUGUGUGUGUGCUGAACAAAAGCCUAGGUUGUUUACAUCAGGGUAAUUGGUCAUGGACGGGUCAUUACCUGCAGCAAGAAAACUGAAGAAAAGAAAAGUGUACAACAAGAGUCUGCAAGAAUCCGUCAAUCUGACUGACUGAUCAGGUAUUUUCAUGCAGUUGGGUGAUGAAGAGCAGGUGGCCUGAUUUGCAGAAAGCAGCACCUUCGCUGCCUCCUCUUCCUCCAUGUGGCUGUUGGGCAGGCGAGGGCGAUUGCGUUCCCCUCCCGCGCCAUGCUGCCUGUCCGCCUGUGGGACCUGCUCCGUGGGCUUUUCAUCAGCUGCCAUUUUCACCAGCAUGCAGGAACUCAGAGGACAAGGAGAAUAACCACUGGUUUGGUGAAGAAACGAGGUCUGUCGCUCUACAGUCUGAUCCGCCCGGCUGUCCCAAUCCAGUCCAGAACAGGAAGAAUGGACAGAGAAUCAGAUCAAGAUCAAGAGAAAAUUGUGUACAAGGCUCUUUGAAGUUCAGGAUGGCAUGAAGGUUCAUGUGGCCAAGGUGCAAAAUCAUCAUGCCUGAGACCACACAGAUGGGGAUGAGAUAAAACUUCUUGUUGCGCUCAACACCAUUUCCAGAAAAGAAGAAGGAGAAGAAACUUAAACCAACAUUCCAGCUCCUGGAGAACAAAACACAAACUGAAGACGAGCUUCAAAAUGGAAGGAUAGAAAUCAGCAGUGAAAAGAGGAGAGGAUGAGAGCAAAGAAAACAAAGAGAUGGAAGAAUAACACAGAAAAGAAGGUAAGAAAAAGAGUACAUAGAGAAGAAGGUGUGGAGCAGAAGUGUGUUGCUGGGCAGAGGGCUGGCGCUGGCAGGGUGGAGAAGCGGGCACGCUCACAGACAUCUGCUGGCACGCUGCGGAUGCUGGAGGGGGCACGGUGCCAUGACCAGCGGCUACAUGGCACACUGAUAAUGCUGGAGCUAUACUCAGAUACACACUGUGUCUCUAUAGAACGCCACACACACAACACCAAUGAUAAAAUAAUCUCACACUAUCGACAUUAGCAAUGCAGGACACACGCUGAGGAUCCAAAAUAUCAUAAUUGGCAGCUUUCAGUUUUUAGUCUAGGCAAAAUACUUAUUAAGA